CCCUUAGAUGUCCUGGGCUGCACGCGCGCUACACUGGAAGUUACGGAUUGAGAUACUACCUUGUCCGAAAUGGUCCGGGUAAUCACCUAAAAGCUUGUCAUAAUUGGAAUGGAUUAUUGUAACUAGUAAUCCUGAACGAGGAAUUCCUAGUAAGUCCCAGUCAACAGCUGGUACUGAUUACGUCCCUGCCCUUUGUACACACCGCCCGUCGCUACUACUGAUUGGACGUUUAAGCAAGAUUUUUAAACACUGCCAGUGUGUAGUUCACGCUAUACUACAGUGAGAAGAAGAAGAUCGAGCUUACUUGUCUAGAGGAAGUAAAAGUCGUAACA
rnacentral:rRNA from 1 species